UCUGAUAUCACAAAUGACAAAACCUUAAGCAUCGGGCAUAUCUGCGAGCACAUCUGCGAAAAUGUGAAAUGAUACACACAGAGAAGGUUAGGGUUUCCUGUGACCUUCUUUGUGUGUGUCUCAUCACUUAUUUUCGCAGAUAUGUCAAAGAAGAAAGGCUCCUGCGGCCGCACAAUGUCAUUGGUUUUGUAAUCGGAGCCUUCGUUGGAGAUCAGAGACAUGAGCGUGAUGAAAGAGAGAGACGACGAGACAUGCGGAUCUCAAUCAAGCAAAACAAGCGAAGCUCCACCAAUGCGAUUCUUGUUUUGCGAGGUUUAACGCCUCGAUGGCCGCCAUGGAUCCACGAUCGGAUCCGUUCAAGAGCUUACAGUUGAAAUCGUGCUGCAAUUAACACCGACACCAGAGAUCUGAUGGGGCUAGGUACUCCAUGGCAGCUUGCUCAAGGUGCGAUGUCGAUUGAUAGAGGCACUGACAGCGCGUCUUCCAUAUAUCGUUAAGGAUAUCUGAAACCAGUGGCCAGCAGGAUUUCGCCUCAAAUUUCCUUUUUGUUUUUAUAGGUAUAAAUUAUUUUACUAAUUUGAUCUCAUUUGAAUCAAAAGAAGUCUGUAUAAUAUAAAUUAUUUUAUUUUAGUGCUGCGGUCGUUCUCUUUUUCUUUUAAGAGGCGCUUGGAAUUAGCCCCAAAUAUUUGUUGGGCUUGUCGAUAAUUCUAGUGGGCAUGACUAUUUAAUUUA